AUAGGAUCCUUGGGAGGAACUUUUGGUAAUGGCCUUGAUCCUCUAUGCUAUUUUUUAUGCGUUCUUAGUUCUAUUGAACUUUUUGCAUUCU
rnacentral:tRNA from 1 species